rnacentral:rRNA from 1 species
GACGAACGCUGGCGGCGUGCUUAACACAUGCAAGUCGAACGGAAAGGCCUCUUUCGGGGGGUACUCGAGUGGCGAACGGGUGAGUAACACGUGAGUAACCUGCCCUUGACUUUGGGAUAACUUCAGGCAACUGGGGCUAAUACCGGAUAGGAGCUACUGCUGCAUGGUGGGGGCUGGAAAGUUUCGGCGGUUGGGGAUGGACUCGCGGCUUAUCAGCUUGUUGGUGGGGUAGUGGCUUACCAAGGCGUUGACGGGUAGCCGGCCUGAGAGGGUGACCGGCGACAUUGGGACUGAGAGACGGCCCAGACUCCGACGGGAGGCAGCAGGGGGGAAGAUUGCACAAGGGGUGGAAGCCUGAUGCAGCAACGCCGCGGGCGGGAGGACGGCCUUCGGGUUGAAAACCGCUUUCGCUCAUGACGAAGCUUUGUGUGACGGUAGUGGGUAAAGAAGCACCGGCUAACUACGUG